rnacentral:rRNA from 1 species
GAUGAACGCUGGCGGCGUGCUUAACACAUGCAAGUCGAACGGAAAGUCUUUCUUUACCCUUUGGGUGGCUUUAAUUAAAUUGUGGGGCGGGCGGGUGACUAACGCGUGGGGUACCCGCCCUUUUCAAGGGGGAUAGAGAUAAUAAGUGGCUUUUAAUACCGGAUAGCGGAAUGGGUCGGAUGGUUGAAGGGGAAAAAAUCCGGGUGGUUGAAGAUGGCCCCGCGUGGGAUUGGCUGGUUGGGGGGGUAACGGCCCACCACGGCGACGAGCAUUAGCCGGCCUGAGAGGGUGAACGGCCACAUUGGGACUGAGACGCGGCACCGACUCCUACGGGAGGCAGCAGUGGGGAAUAUUGCACAAUGGGGGAAACGCUGAUGCAGCGACGCCGCGUGAAGGAAGAAGUAUCUCGGUAUGUAAACUUCUAUCAGCAGGGAAGAUAGUGACGGUACCUGAAUAAGAAGCCCCGGCUAACUACGUG